CUGGGUCCAACCUCCCACCCGUGUUUAUUUUACCUUGUUGCUUCGGCGGGCCCGCCUUAACUGGCCGCCGGGGGGCUUACGCCCCCGGGCCCGCGCCCGCCGAAGACACCCUCGAACUCUGUCUGAAGAUUGUAGUCUGAGUGAAAAUAUAAAUUAUUUAAAACUUUCAACAACGGAUCUCUUGGUUCCGGCAUCGAUGAAGAACGCAGCGAAAUGCGAUACGUAAUGUGAAUUGCAAAUUCAGUGAAUCAUCGAGUCUUUGAACGCACAUUGCGCCCCCUGGUAUUCCGGGGGGCAUGCCUGUCCGAGCGUCAUUGCUGCCCUCAAGCACGGCUUGUGUGUUGGGCCCCGUCCUCCGAUCCCGGGGGACGGGCCCGAAAGGCAGCGGCGGCACCGCGUCCGGUCCUCGAGCGUAUGGGGCUUUGUCACCCGCUCUGUAGGCCCGGCCGGCGCUUGCCGAUCAACCCAAAUUUUUAUCCAGGUUGACCUCGGAUCAGGUAGGGAUACCCGCUGAACUUAAGCAUAUCAAUAA
rnacentral:rRNA from 1 species